rnacentral:rRNA from 1 species
UACAGAGGGUGCGAGCGUUGUCCGGAAUCAUUGGGCGUAAAGAGCGUGUAGGCGGUCCGGUAAGUCGGCUGUGAAAGUCCAGGGCUCAACCCUGGGAUGCCGGUCGAUACUGCCGGACUAGAGUUCGGAAGAGGCGAGUGGAAUUCCCGGUGUAGCGGUGAAAUGCGCAGAUAUCGGGAGGAACACCUAUGGCGAAGGCAGCUCGCUGGGACGUUACUGACGCUGAGACGCGAAAGCGUGGGGAGCAAACAGG